rfam:complete chromosome Acholeplasma brassicae.
GGAGGAUUAGCUCAGUUGGGAGAGCAUCUGCCUUACAAGCAGAGGGUCGGCGGUUCGAGCCCGUCAUCCUCCA